UACUUGGUGCGUCAGCGCGCAAACUUGAGCACAAAGCAGGGAAAGGAGCGGUCCCCCUCUUUCCUUUGUCUGAUGCAGGGCGCUUUGAGGAAGACAAGUUGACGGGGAUGCUCUUUACAUCUCCAAACCGCGCCAUAACGCACGACUUCUUGUUCUAUGGGAUUAUAUGUCUUUGUUUGCUUUAUCGGCCGUCACAUGGAGUUGGUGCUGCUUUUGUCCCUGGUGAUGUUGCGACGCGCUGGCUGCCUGUCAGGAGAAGUUGGCGGAGAAAAAUGCUCCUCUUACGCACGCUGCUUAAAGACAAAGUGUUUGUAAGAAGUUUGGCAUAACUUUUGAAUUUGUUUGAUUUAACGGUGUAGUUAUAAUUGAGUUGUGUUUUAGUCACGCGAAGUUGCUAAUUCACUGUGGGAAUUCAGAACAAUGCAAUCAGGUGUAAAGUAUCAUAAACACAACACUGGCGUGGAGGCAAAGUUGUUGUGCAGAAAAAUAUAGUAUAAAUGCAAAGUAAACGAAUUUAUCUUGAGGUUAGCUGUAUUUCCACUUUGAAAAGUGUAAAAAUAAGUUGUUUGCCGCUAAUUAGAAGCGGAGCAACAGGUAUAAGUCUCAGCUCCUCUUUGUUACAGUACAGCCUCUUUGUUCUCAGCCCAUAGUCCAUACAAAGAAACUCCGCACAAAGCAAUGUAAUUCUGUCAUAAAAACAAUUGUUGUGUCGCCCAGGACACCACAAUGUGCUAUUUUGUCUAUAAUCUUUAUUCUAUAAGCCCAAAUAGUAAAAAGACAGUAUUAUACAUCAAUUUCAAACUUUUAAGCACAUGGGACUCAGAGCAUCUCUGGAUAAAAGGAUGUGGGAUUUUAACACCAGAUUAACCGACUCACCAAAUUUCCCCAGGAAAGGUUAAAGGAAUAAAAAAAAAAAACCCUCCACAAAAUCUCCACAAAUCUUGCAGCAAAUGUAGCCACCUAUCAAGCACUUUAAGAAGAAGCUCUGCGGAUUAAGACACAGUGGCCUGGUUUCGUUUUUGGAGAAGGUGAAGACUCAUCUCUGAAGGAUUUAAAGUUGAGCAGCAGAACAGAAGUAGCGUGCAGGAUGAGUUUAAGGCACACUUGGAAAUCUCCAACUCUUGGAGCCACUUUGCGGAUUAUAAAGAUCUUGAGGCACUUACAACUUCGCUGGAUAAAGGCAGGAUAUCCUUCGUUCCUCUACCAUACGAAAUACAAGCCAAAAUAGUGUGACUGUACAAAUGGGAAGACACACAUGAACAGAUCUUGUGAACAAACGUCUGUGUGAAACAGGAGGAGUCUGAGACAGUGUGGGCAUGUGGGAGUGGAGAGGUCUGGGAGAUCAUGACCUUAAUUCUCUCCAAGACAGACGGUUUAAUUAACAGCAGAGAAAUCCUCACUGACUUCCCAGCUCCACCGUCAAAAUGUACGCAGAAUGAAGUGCAAAGGUAUGGGACUAAGGUCCUCUCAGACAUUUGGCGGACUGUGAAGGUAACAGACGAUGCCCAUGAAUGAUGAAUGAUGACUGGAGGUCUGUCUGAUGCCAGCUGAAUACAUAUUACAUCGCACAUCCAGCCGUUCUCUGGCCUUCUCGCCACAAAACGGUGCAUCACAUCAUUGACUGAGGGUCCCCCCGGCAACACGCGCGACCAUCUGAGAAGAGAUCUAAACAUAUUCAAGACCCUCUGUGGGGUUUUCAUAAAAGCUGAGACUUAUACACUUUAUUUUGUGUACACUUGAAAUCGUAUAUCGUUUUGUUCAGUUUUUUUUCUUUCCAACUUUUUGACCUGCAUAGCUUUUAAUCAAUCUUGUUAUGGAUGUGUAUACUGUUCAAACCCCACAUUUAAUCUGUCUUGUAAUUUUGUAUUGUGUACAUAUAAAAUAAUAAAUAUAUAAAAUGAUAAA